AGAGUCUAGAAUCCCAAUGAGCAGCAGCGCCGGCACUCGUGCGAGGGUGUAGAGGCGGUUUACCAACAGGAGCAGGGCGAUGGUGAGCACGGACGGCGAGCGGGACUUGUGGUGGAGCAGGCUGGCGACGGUGGGCAGGCCCCCGUCCGAGGCCCGGCGGCCGGGAUUCACCGCCCUCCUCGACAUCCUCCGCUCCUUGGUCCCCACCCUGACCGAGCGAUCAGCCGCGCUUCUCCCCCUCUCCCUCCUCGAUCACCCUGCGCCGACGAGCCGCGUCAGAUCGAACUAGUUCGCGCCGACGAGAAUAAACCCAAGAGGAAUGAACUAGGCAAUGCCGCAGAUCGAUCCGCCGCGGCUGGGCCCGGGCCUCGUCUCGGCUCAACGCGCGCCGCGGGUGCGCUCGAACGGAAACCCCGGGAAUCCCGGCGAGCGUGGCGGAGAGGGUGGGUACGGACCUGUAAUGGCGGCAGCGGCGGCGGGGCCGGGGAGGGGGGCGACGGCGAUGCUAGGGUUGGGGCGGAUCUGGGGGCGGCGGUGCGGGGCGGGGGAUCGUAGUGGAGUGGGGGUGGGGGGAGAGGGAGAGCGUUGGGGAGAGAGGA
rnacentral:lncRNA from 1 species